GGCGGUGUAGCUCAGUGGCUAGAGCGAGUGAUUCAUAAUCACUGUGUCGUGGGUUCGAGUCCCACCGCCGCCACCA
rnacentral:tRNA from 1 species